rnacentral:rRNA from 1 species
CCCUUAGAUGUUCUGGGCCGCACGCGCGCUACACUGGUGCAGUCAACAAGCUCUCCUUCGGGAUCCUUGGUCGGAAGGCCUGGGGAAUCUUGCAAACUGUACCGUGAUGGGGAUAGAUGCUUGUAAUUUUUCAUCUUCAACGAGGAAUUCCUAGUAAACGCAAGUCAUCAACUUGCAUUGAUUACGUCCCUGCCCUUUGUACACACCGCCCGUCGCACCUACCGAUUGAAUGGUCCGGUGAAGCCUCCGGAUUGGCGCGCACCUCGGUGCCGCCGAGAAGUUGGCUAAACCUUACCAUUUAGAGGAAGGUGAAGUCGUAACA